AGCGAACGCUGGCGGCAGGCCUAACACAUGCAAGUCGAACGAACUCUUCGGAGUUAGUGGCGGACGGGUGAGUAACACGUGGGAACGUGCCUUUUGGUUCGGAAUAACUCAGGGGAACUUGUGCUAAUACCGACUGUGCUCUUCGGGGGAAAGAUUUAUCGCCAUUAGAGCGGCCCGCGUCUGAUUAGCUAGAUGGUGAGGUAACGGCUCACCAAGGCGACGAUCAGUAGCUGGUCUGAGAGGAUGACCAGCCACACUGGGACUGAGACACGGCCCAGACUCCUACGGGAGGCAGCAGUGGGGAAUCUUGCGCAAUGGGCGAAAGCCUGACGCAGCCAUGCCGCGUGAAUGAUGAAGGUCUUAGGAUUGUAAAAUUCUUUCACCGGGGACGAUAAUGACGGUACCCGGAGAAGAAGCCCCGGCUAACUUCGUG
rnacentral:rRNA from 1 species